rnacentral:lncRNA from 1 species
UUGGACACUUUGAGCCCUUGAAGACACACUCACCGUCUAAAGCGUAAUUAAGAGGUAAUUAACACAAAUUAAGUUGAAAGGAAUUUAAGAAAAACCCCCUUUGUUGAUCCUCUUUUUUUGCUAGUGGCACUCCCUCUUGUUGUCUUUGCUUGUUAGCCCUCCAAAUGUGUAUAGUGUUUUGAGAAAGUGUGCUUCGGCUUUGUCUUUGUCUUCUCCUUAGAAUGAAGGUCUUGAUUCUCCAAUUUCCAGCACCUAUCAAAGGGCUAAACCUUAACCAAGUCAAGUUUCCAUUCACACAAGCACCAAAGGAGAAUAAAUUCCAGCACCCAAAUUAGAGGUCAAAGAACAAAAGCAAGAAACAAUUAAAUUGAAUAAAACAGUACCACCAAAAGGAGUUAGAUUAUGACAACUAGAAAGAGGUUCAAGAAAUAUUAAGCAAGCAAAU